GCUUUUACAUGACUCACUCAGAAAAAACUAAAGACUCUUCUAAAACUACUUUUCAUAUACCUGCACUGAAGCAACAGUCAUCUUUAAGCCAAAUAGGCGGAGAGAAAUGACUUCUUCAAAGUAUUCAGACAGGGUCUCACUCCGUCACCCAGGCUGGAGUACAGUGGCACAAUCUCGGUUCUCUGCAACCUCCAUCGCCCAGGCUCAAGUGAUCCCCCCACCUCAACCUCCCAAGUAGCUGGGAUUACAAGCCUGCACCUCUAUGCCCAGCUAAUUUUUGUGUUUUUAGUAGAGACAAGGUUUUGCCAUGUUGGCCAGGCUGGUCUCGAACUCCUGACCUCAGGUGAUCCAAAAGCCUUGGCCUCCCCAAGUGCUGGGAUUACAGGCUUGAGCCACCACACCUGGCCAAUUAUUUUAUUAAGCCAGAUGAAUCUAGCUCUGGACAGUUAUAAGCAAAGAAAAACUAACGGAAAAAUACAGAGGCCUGAAGAAUCACAGAGGGAAACUCAUUUGUUCCUCUGGCAGCUCUCCCCAAGGACACCUGUGAGACAAAGUCAGAAGUGGCUUCCCUGGUGACCCAGAGAGACCACAGGGCUCUUGCCGCUGCUUCCUCUACUCCCGUAUUUUGCCGAGCUCUCUAAAUUGUCUCAGCUCUAGCCUGAAUCUAUGGUUUCAUGGAGAGCUCCCUAAAAUCUGUUGACAGAGGAAGAGAAGACUUGAACCUGGUUUACAGAUGGUACUGCACAAUAUGCAGGAACCACAUGAAAGCAGGCAGUUGAAGCACUGCAGCCUCUCUCUGGGACAUCUCCUAAGAAAAAUGAGGGAGCAUCCUCCCAUCCUCCAGGUGGGCAGAGCUACUGGUGGUGCAUCUGUUUUUUCAUAUGAUUGGAAGGAAAAAUGGUCAGAUGUGCAAAUAUACACUGAUUGCCGGGCUGUGGCCCAUGGUUUGGCUGGAUGGCAAAAAUUUUAGAAGAAACGAUUGAAAAAUCGGUGACAUAUAAAUCUGGGCAAAAGAUAUGUGGAUAGAUAUUUUUUCUCUGAAUGGGCAAAAAACAUGAUAAUAUUUGUGUUUCAUGUGAAUGCUUAUCAAAAGCUGACCUUAGAUGAAAAGGAUUUUAAUAAGCAAGUGGACAGGAUAACCCAUUCUGUGGAUACCAGUUAAUGUCUUUUGUCAUCCAACUCUGUCAUCACACAAUGAGCUCAAUGAACAAAGUGGCCAUGGUAGCAGGGAUGGAAAUUAUUCAUUGGUUCAGCAACAUGGACUUUCACUCACCAAGGCUUUUAUGGUUACAGCAACUGCUGAGUGCCCAAUAUGAAAUCAGCUAAGACUAAUAUAGAGUUUCCUUUAGCACACCAUUCUACGGAGUGAUCAGCAAGUUGAUUACACUAGUCAGCUUCCGUUAUGGAAGAGACAGCAUUUUGUUCUUACUGGAAUAGAUACUUACUCUAGAUAUUGAUUUGUGUUUUUUCAGGCAAUGUUUCUGCAAAAACUGCCAUUUGUGUACUUAUAAAAUGCCUUCUCUACCAUUAUGGUAUUCCACACAACAUGGCUUCUGAUCAAAGAAUUCAUAAUACAACAAAAUAAGUGCAACAAUAAGCCCAUGCUCAUGUAACUCAGUGGUCUAAAUUCUAUUGGUUCUGUUUGUCCAAAGAACCCUGAGUAAUACAUCUAGUAAAUGAUUUUUUCAUCACCUGUUAGUAAAGACCACAAGAAGUAGUUUACAAUAUACCUAAACUAUCUGAUAUGGGCUGGAUUGUGUUUUCCCAAAAUUUAUAUGUUGAAGCCCUGAUCCCCCAGUACCUCAGAGUGUG